rnacentral:rRNA from 1 species
CAGUCGCCACGGUAAUACGUAGGUGGCAAGCGUUGUCCGGAAUUAUUGGGCGUAAAGGGCUCGCAGGCGGUUUCUUAAGUCUGAUGUGAAAGCCCCCGGCUCAACCGGGGAGGGUCAUUGGAAACUGGGAAACUUGAGUGCAGAAGAGGAGGGCGGAAUUCCACGUGCAGCGGUGAAAUGCGUAGAGAUGUGGAGGAACACCAGUGGCGAAGGCGACUCCCUGGUCUGUAACUGACGCUGAGGAGCGAAAGCGUGGGGAGCGAACAGGAUUAGAUACCCCAGUAGUCCCUGUCUCUUAUAA